CUUAUAAUAAUCCAUCAGUUAAAUCAUCAGUUGAAUCUGUACAGAUGUUGCAUGUUAUCAAUGAAGGUCUAUCUGAAGGCAAUCUGUUUUAUUUUUGCAACACACUGAAAUGAGAAUUGCAUCACUGUAUUGUCUGUUCUGUUUUUGUGUCCAUACCAUGUGAACACUAUCCUGAGAUUCCAAGAUUCACAGAGUCCUGUCAUUCCAGCCUCAAAUUCAAACCAGUCAUCGUCGUUCACAAUUCUACAUCUCCCAUAAUUGCUUUUCUUUCUUGAGCUAAUAAGUUUUAUCCAGCCAAGUCAUAUCCUUAGCCAUCCAAACAAUACUGGAUGCUUCCCAACAUCGUAGGAAACAUCCAAAAAGACUGCCUGCAUCCAUCCAUCCAGUUGUCUCCUAAUAUCACAAAUAAGUUAAUAUAACAACAUAAUAGUCAAGAUUUACUAAAAUACACAAAGGUUUAUGCAUCAAAACUCAAUAUCUACUGCCCCUUGCUCUCAAAAGCACACAACCGAUAAAAAGACUUGACACAAUUUGGUAUCCACUGGUGUUAUUCUAAGAUCCACAAACUCCUAUAGAAAUAUCAUCUACUGACAAAAAGAUUUCUGCAAUAUGCUACACUUGUGACUUCCUCAUCCAUUAUAUGAUUCUCUGCUCCACAAAGCAUUUUUAUAAAGAAGCACACAACCAAUAAAAAGGUUUGUGCAUCAAAACUCAAUAUCUACUGUCCACUACUCUCAAAAAAUUUCUGAAAUGCCCUGAAGUCAUAAUGUCCUCCAUAUUCCCAUAUUGGCAUUCUUUGCUCCAUGAACUCCUAUAAAGAAGCACACAUCUGAUAUAAAGUACAAUUUCAGAUUUGUGCAACAACUCUGUAACUCCAGUCAUAAUCAGAGCUCCACAAACUACUGUGCAAAUGUCAAAUGCUGACAAAACAUGAAGACAAAACCAUUGUCAACUAUCAAUUCAGAAAUUGUCCCAACAAAACUUUUUAAACUGAUGCAGGCAGUCAAUAGUCAAAUUUAUGUCACAAAUGAAUACAUAAUCACAAAAGUAAAACAAUUAUAUAUAAAAUAUUGGAUGGAUGGCUUGUAUUAAAUUUUUGCCUAUGUACAGUAAAUUUAGAUAUGUGCCAGCCAAAGGAGGAUGGCCUGCCCCUGCUGAGUCUGAUCCUCUCAAGGUUUCUCCCUAUACCACUCUGUCCAUACUGCUCUCCUCUUCACUAAUUUAGGGAAUUUUUCCUUGCCACUGCCACCUUCUGGCUUGCUUACUGGGGUAUUAAGGCACAAUAUUUUCAAUGUAAACUGAUUAAAGUCAUUGUAAGGAAUUUAGUAAAUGAAUUAAAUGUACUUUUGUCCUUGCUGCCAUGCACUUCCAUUUACUGUCAAUGUCCAGUUUGUUGAAUUGACCUACAUUAGAAAUUCUAUGUAGUAUGUUAGUUUUGUUACCCACACAAUUUGGAUUCUUAAAAAAAAAAAAUAGACCUCAUCUGUGAGAGCACAAUACUUAUCACACUGUGUCAUAGAUGAUACAUGAUAAUGGACAAAAAUCAUUUAAAAGUAAUUCAUUUAACAUACUAUUAUUCAAAAUCUAAAUGUACAUUUUUAUCUUUGCUUUCAGUUUAUUGAUUGUCGUACCAUUAAACCUAGA